GUUUUAACAGUUUUACCUGUCUGCCAUGUUGAUAUCACAUAAACUCUCUAACUUCAUUAUGUUUUCUUUUUUUCUCUUAUGGGUUUCAUCUGAAAACAAACACCAGGUUCUGCCAGUGGACUGGUUGCUGGUUCAGUUCUCAAACUCUUUUUGUUGAUGGUGUUCUUGGUGUUCUUGUUCUAGCUGUGCUCGUGAAAAAAGGGUUUUAGGAAAGGUGAGCUCUUGUGAUUUAACAAACCAGUCAGCAUAAUCAACUUCAGGCUUUCCUGCUUAACAACGUGCCUUGAACUUUGCUGCUGAAGUGUGUGUGCUCUUGUAUCUUUUGAUUUUUGUGAGGAUCAGUUUGAGUUUUAGACCAAAACAGUGAAAACAUUUUUGGAGCAGUUGGAGCAUUUUGUCCUCAUUUAUCCAAAGGCUGGUUUUUAAGUUGAGGUUUUAGAGUUAAAGAUAGAAACAGACGACUGUAUAAACCUGUUAACUUUAAGAAGAAGCUUCCUGUCUUACUGCAGCAGGACCAGGAGGGGGCAGUGUAGCUCACAACGAUAUCAAAUAGAAAACACUGAAAUACCCAAAAAACAGAGAACAGAACAUUUUCAGCUGCCUGAACUUCAAACAGAUUAAAACCUUUAUAAUGUGACUUGUAGCUUGACCAUUAUAACAUUAUUAAUAAAUAUCAAUGAAUAAUGAGAACUGUUCUAGUUGUGAUGGACUACAUUUGAUCUCUGAUCCUCAGCUGAAAUAAACAACCAUCGUAGUCACUCAGACUUUAAAAGAUGAAGUUGAAAUGUGUGCCAGCGGUCGUCCGGUUGGAUCCCUGCUGCUCCUGUCAUCAUGUCAAAGUGUCCUAGAACUAAACACUGAACCCCAAAUGACUCCUGAUGUUCAGACCUGCAGCCUGCAUGGUAGCUGGCUGCCAUCAGUGUGUUUGUGAGUGUUAAUGAGUGAAUGAGAGGAACAUUUUAAAGCAUGCUGGAUAAAAGCACCAUAUAAAUGCAUCCAUUUAUCAAAUAUUAUCAUACUGCUCUUAAAGAUCCUCACUGAGUUAGACUGCACUGAAAUAAAACCUGCUGUUAAGCUUUGAAUUAAUGUGAAUAUUUUGCAGCUAAAAUCAAUCAAAUGUGACUUUUCUAUAUUUUGAAUAAUCAUGUGUUAUUUCUUUGUAUUUGUUAAUGUGCUCAGCCAGAAUCAGUCAGGUACAGUUUCAUACUGAACUAUAAACUGUUGUUGACUGUGAUAUUUGAAUUGAGCUGAAAGUUCAUGUAUGUUUAUGUUGUUUAUGUUGCACUUGCAGGGUUUCAUGUAAUUUCAGGCUCUUCUUUUCUAUUCGAUCAUUUGAAUAAAACAUGAAC